GACGAACGCUGGCGGCAUGCCUAAUACAUGCAAGUCGAGCGAACAGAUGAAGUGCUUGCACUUCUGACGUUAGCGGCGAACGGGUGAGUAACACGUAAGGAAUCUACCUAUAAGCGGGGGAUAACAUUCGGAAACGGGUGCUAAUACCGCAUAAUAUCUUCUUCCGCAUGGAAGAAGAUUGAAAGACGGCUCUGCUGUCACUUAUAGAUGACCUUGCGGUGCAUUAGUUAGUUGGUGGGGUAACGGCCUACCAAGACGAUGAUGCAUAGCCGACCUGCGAGGGUGAUCGGCCACAUUGGGACUGAGACACGGCCCAAACUCCGACGGGAGGCAGCAGUAGGGAAUCUUCCGCAAUGGGCGAAAGCCUGACGGAGCAAUGCCGCGUGAGUGAAGAAGGCCUUCGGGUCGUAAAACUCUGUUAUAAGAGAAGAACAAAUUGUAGAGUAACUGCUACAGUCUUGACGGUAUCUUAUCAGAAGGCCACGGCUAACUACGUGCCAGCAGCCGCUGUAA
rnacentral:rRNA from 1 species